CAUCUUUUCUUGUUAGUUUUUGAAGUAUGGCCUGCCCACUGACUUAGAGUUGAAGGGCCGCGGUAUUUUGACCGUGCAAAGGUAGCAUAAUCAUUAGUUCUUUAAUUGUGAUCUGGUAUGAAUGGCUUGACGAGACAUAAGCUGUCUUAGAGGUAUUGGUUUAUUGAAUUUGGUUUUUGAGUUAAAAUUCUUAAAUGUUUUUAUGGGACGAGAAGACCCUAUAGAGUUUGACAAUUUUCCUAUUUAUUCGUUGUUUGUUUUAUUUACAUUGAGUGGGAGUGAAUUGUUUUGUUGGGGUGAUGGGAGGAAUAUUGUUUAACUCCUCUUUGUUUUUAUAUAUUUAUGUAUAUAUUUUUGAUCCAUUUAUUUUGAUUAUAAGAUUAAAUUACCUUA
rnacentral:rRNA from 1 species